rnacentral:lncRNA from 1 species
GGGCAGGAGAACGGCGUGAAACCGGGAGGCGGAGUUUGCAGUGAGCCGAGAUCGCCCCACUGCACUCCAGCCUGGGCGACACAGCGAGACUCCGUCUCAAAAAAAAAAAAACAAACAAACAACAAAAAAAAAAACUCAGAGCAGAUAUUAUAGCGUAUGUGAAUUAUUAAUUUACUUUGUUUUCCCAUGGCCAACUCACCUGUUCUAAGCCACAGCCACCUGGCACCUUCAAUUUGAAAUGUAUAAGGCAUAAGCUAUACGUUCCUCAUGGAAAGAGUAAAAGUUAUUUUAUAGCCAUACCAAGAUUGGAUUUCGGGUGUACUAUUUAUAAGCUGUGUAAUAACGUUGGACAAAUUACUUAACCUCUGUGAAACUCAGUUUUCUCUUUUAUUUUAUUUUACUUUAUUUUAUUUUUUUUAGACGAGUCUCGCUCUGUCACCCAGGCUGGAGUGCAGUGGCGUGAUCUCGGCUCACUGCAACCUCUGCCUCCCGGGUUCAAGCAAUUCUCUGCCUCAGCCUCCCGAGUGGCUGGGAUUACAGGCGCCCGCCACCACGCCCAGCUAUUUUUUUUGUAUUUUUAGUAGAGACGGGGUUUCAGCAUCUUGGCCAGGCUGGUCUUGAACUCUUGACCUGGUGAUCCACCCGCCUCAGCCUCCCAAAGUGCUGGGAUUACAGGCGUGAGUCACCGCGCCCGGCCGAGUUUUCUCUUUUAUUAAAAAAAGAAAAUCAACAACAAAGUUUUGCAGGAUUGUAGUGAGUGAAUAUAAAGUAUGUGAUUCGGUAUCCGGAACAUAAAAGUUCUCAGGAAAUCACGAUUAAUAAUAAACAGUAACAAAUAAUGAUCCGUCCAAACCAAGAGAAGAUAAUCUCCUUUGGCUGUAAGAAAAUAUGACUUAAACAGCUCUUUCCUUCAAGUCCUCCUUCCCACUUUAACAGGCCACACUGUACUGAGCAUCUAGAAGGCUCUCUGCCAACAGCAGCGCCGGUUUGUUAUCUAAGUGAGUCUUGGUCAUUAAGCAAAGUCAGGGUCUUUGUUAUUGGUUUCAUCCCCACUGGCCUUGCAGAGAAAGCCCAAGCCACAGGGUACAUCUCUGCCUGCCAAUGCCCUGUAUUCCUGAAACAAAAAGGCAAUAAAAAACACGACAGUUAGUGUCAGACACGGAGCCCGGGCUUGGGAGCGGGCGGGGAGGGCUCCCUUUUCUCCUUGUUCCGCAGCACCUGUCACGGAGACGGGAGAUGGGGGCCUGGCCCGGGAUGGGCAGCCCUGCUUCCUCCUGCCCCCGCCGCGCUCCCUCCCGAGCUGCUCCGGCCCCGGCUCCCAGCAACGCGGCGGCGGCCCGCUCUGCGACUAGAAAGCGCCCAUUGAGGGCUUGCAGCUGCCAGUGCCGCUUGCCCAAAUCCGACAUAAAGCCUCGACUUCAGCUCCAGUGAAGAAGACACUACUGUGUUCUUCCUGAGCCCCAGUCAUGGCUAUAAAACAUUAAAAGCAAACUGGCGAUUGUUAAACACUGCAUUUGUUUACACCCCGAAUCUUGAAUCACAAUGGGGCAGCUUGGGCUGCCCAGGCCCGGCGAGGCCGGGCUUUCUCCUAGACACUGAAGUCUGUUCUCCGACCCAAGGGACACAAGAAAAGCUGGAGUAAAGUGGCAUGAUCUCGGCUCACUGCAGCCUCCGCCCCCGCCAGGUUCAAGUGAUUCUCCUGCCUCAGCCUCCCGAGUAGCUGGGAUUACAGGCGCAGGCCACCAUGCCCAGGUCACCCGUACUUCAUUUACCAGUCCUUGCUAAGGAUUAUUCAUUAAAACACACAACAGCAACAAUAACCACAAAAGCAACAAUAAAAAUACCUUUGAACUCACUCAAUCUUGAACUAUUGAACAUGCUAAGUCCGUGUCAUUGGCCUACUUAAUCAGCCCUCGAUUGUAACUUGAAGAAGCUUAUUGAUAAGAAAAUAAACUUCUCAUAAAGUAUAACUACUUUCUUAGCAAAACUAUUUGUUUCAUCUUCUCUUUAAAAUUUUUGAUAU